UACGGAGGGUGCGAGCGUUGUUCGGAAUCACUGGGCGUAAAGCGCGUGUAGGCGGCCUGCUAAGUCUGAUGUGAAAGCCCGAGGCUCACCCUCGGAAGCGCAUUGGAAACUGGCAGACUGGAGUCCCGGAGAGGAGGGUGGAAUUCCUGGUGUAGCGGUGAAAUACGUAGAGAUUGGGAAGAACACCAGUGGCGAAGGCGGCUAUCUGGACGGUUUCUGACACUAAGACUCGAAAGCGUGGGGAGCAAACAGG
rnacentral:rRNA from 1 species